rnacentral:rRNA from 1 species
ACUCCUACGGGAGGCAGCAGUGGGGAAUAUUGCACAAUGGGCGCAAGCCUGAUGCAGCCAUGCCGCGUGUAUGAAGAAGGCCUUCGGGUUGUAAAGUACUUUCAGCAGUGAGGAAGGUGGGUAUGUUAAUAGCAUACUCAUUUGACGUUAGCUGCAGAAGAAGCACCGGCUAACUCCGUGCCAGCAGCCGCGGUAAUACGGAGGGUGCGAGCGUUAAUCGGAAUUACUGGGCGUAAAGCGUACGCAGGCGGUUUGUUAAGCGAGAUGUGAAAGCCCCGGGCUCAACCUGGGAACUGCAUUUCGAACUGGAAAACUAGAGUGUGAUAGAGGGUGGUAGAAUUUCAGGUGUAGCGGUGAAAUGCGUAGAGAUCUGAAGGAAUACCGAUGGCGAAGGCAGCCACCUGGGUCAACACUGACGCUCAUGUACGAAAGCGUGGGGAGCAAAACGGGAUUAGAUACCCUGGUAGACUGUC